UAUCCCCUGUGGCAUCCGAUAGUUGGCUAGGUAUUUUCUUGAGCCUAACACUAACCUAGGGAAUAAAGAACCGAUACUGGUGUGCCGGUCCGUACUUCGUACUUCAUAACGGAACGCCUAAAGGUAACUGGUAAAAUUCCCACUUGAACUACACGGUUCAAGAACAAAGCUGACAACGGUGCUAAUGGGGGGCCA
rnacentral:other from 1 species